rnacentral:misc_RNA from 1 species
AGAGAGAGGAGAGAGAGAAAGAGGAGAGAAUUUUUUUUUUCUUCUGUUUCCAUAAAAGUUGUUUAUUCAUUUAACAUUCUGUCAAUUUUUUUAGUUAACUUUACAACAAAAUUAAUAAAAUAAAACUAAAUAAUUAAAUGAUAAUAAUUUAGCAGUAGUUUUACUACAAUUUACGUGAAAAACAUAUUUGACAUAUGUCAUCAUAUGUCAUAGACUUGUCGUCAUUUCUUUUUUCAUUGGCUUAUUAUACAGUACAUAAAUUAAUAAUAUUUAUUGAAGAAAAAUAACAGUUGUUAUUAAUAUUUAUAUUGCUGUCAUAAUCAAAGACACAAUUACACUUGACUGAUAAAGUUUAUAAGAAAAUUAAAAAUUAAUCGAAACGAUGGAGGAUAUGCAAGAUGAGACCCAAUUUGUUGUUGAUGAUGUUAGUAAAAUAAUAAAAGAAGCAAUUGAAAUGUCAAUUGGUGGUGAUGCCUAUCAACAUACCAAAGUUAGUCAAUGGAUUUCAAAUGUUGUUGAAACUUGUUUAGCUAAUUUAACUAAACUUCAAAAACCAUACAAAUAUAUUGUUACAUGUACAAUUAUGCAAAAAAAUGGUGCUGGUUUACAUACAGCAAGUUCAUGUUUUUGGGAUAAUACAACUGAUGGAAGUUGUACUGUUCGUUGGGAAAAUAAAACAAUGUAUUGUAUAGUAUCUGUUUUUGGUCUGGCAACAUAAAAUAUAUUCAGGCUAAUAUAUCUAGUCGGCUAAAGUUAUUAAUUAAUAAUUGAUUUUCUAUUUUUUAUUCACAAAAAUACGUAAUUUUCUUUUUUUUCAUUAACAAUAUUAAUUUUUUUUUUGUUUUCUUUUAUUUCCUUUCAAUAAUCAAAAUAUGCUAAUAAUAUGUUUAAUUUUAUUUCUUAGUUAUCACAUAAUAUCAUAUAAUAAUUUUGAUAAUGAAAAAUAAUAAAUUUGUCAUAUGAGACACUAAAAUUUUGACAUUAUUUUUUAUUUAUUUAAUUUUUUUUUCUGAAAAGUUAAAAAUUUCUGAUUUUUUAAUUAUUAAAAAAAGUGUUAUUUAUUAUUUUUAAAAUUAAUAAUUUUCAACUAAUUAAUCUAUUGAAUCGAUCCCUCGAAAAUUAAAUAAUCGAUAUAUCGAGGGCGUCAGUCAGAGAGAGAGAGCGAAAAAAAAAAUAAGACUGGCUACAGUGAGCUACAGCAGGCCACAAGAAGACUAGAGAGUAGAGACCAAUAAAUUAGGUCUCUAGCAGUCUCUAGUCUUCUUGAUUGGCCAAAAUUACUUGCGCGCAGAUAUAAUUAAGAUAAAAACAAAUAUAAAAAAACUAAAACGUGGUUAUUACUUAUUAUUGGUAGUGGAUAUCAAAUUUUAAUUUUAUCAAAUAUGAAUCAGCUCAAACGAUUGCGUAAAUCAGGGUCGAAAAAAAGCUUGGUAAAAAAAUAUAACGUUCCAAGUCAAAUUAUAACACGUUCCUUGAGCAAAAAAAAUAAUAAGAUAUACACUCACCAUGAUGAUGAUAAUAAUUUAAACGCCAAAGAUAUAACGAUAAUUGAGCGUGUUAAUGAUGAUUGCCUGACUGAAAUAUUCAUGCAUGUACCAGCAUGUGAAAGACCAAAAAUUGCAUUGGUAUGCAAAAAAUGGAAAAGAGUCCUUGAUUAUUCUUGGUUUAAUGUCAAAAAACUUGAACUAACACAUUGGGAAUAUGACGAGAAUCCACAUUUUUUAGAGAGAAAUUAUCCAAGAAUCAAUGGACAAUUCAAGUUUUUGAAAUCACUGCUUUAUAAAUGUGGUCGUUAUUUAAGAGAAUUAGACUUGUCAGUCUAUACUCGUUGUAACAUAUUGCCAGUUAUUAAUGAAUAUUGUCCAAAUCUCAUAAAACUUCGAAUAAGAAUCGGUGAUAUUGAUGAUGCAAUAUUGGAUAAUGCAUUUUCACAUCUUUCUAAACUGAAAGUAUUGAAAAUCAUAUUUCAUGGUUGUUUUGAUGAUGAACAUCGUAAAGUCCCUACAACUUUAAUUAAUUCAUUGUUAAACGUUGCUGAUACAUUGACGGAUCUCAAUAUUGCAAAUUGGGCUGCAGCCUUAUGUAAAAAAGCUUUUUUUCCAGCAGAAAUGACUAGUGUGGUUAUUCAACUGAAGGCCUUAAGAAAAUUUGGAGCUGAUUGUAUAGUAUCUCCACGAAGUAUGCGCGAAUAUUUGAACAAUUCGGAAACAAUAAGAAGCACUAGUGACCACAAUUGUUACAAUAAAAUUAAAAUGAGUACUACGGAGCUCUUUGAACGUGUUGAAGAAUUAGAUAUUCUUACUUGGGGAAUUUCCGAUGAUUGUAUAUAUAACAUUGCUAAUGUUAUGAAACGAUUACACACACUACGUGUAUCAUGUCCAUGGCUAACCGAUGCUGGUAUCGCUGCAUGUUCAAAGAUAAAUAAUUUAAAAAAUCUCUAUUUAGACGGCUUUAAUGAUGCUACUGACUCCUCAAUUAAAUUGCUCAAAAAUUUGACACAUUUAAAGUUACCAUAUAGCAAUAAAAUUACUGAUGAAUCGGCCAUUAAAGUUCUUGAAAAUUCACCAGACAUGAUUGAAUAUUGCGUCAAAAACACAGGUAUAACUUUCAAUUUUAUUGAAAAAGCAGCAGAAAUAUCAGAAAGUCGUGACAGAGAAUUAACUGUAUUUGUUUCACUUGAUUCUGAUUUAUUUAGCACACGAACCGAAUACGAUUGUUUAUCAAUUUUUUAUGUUAAAA